UAAACCAUGCAAACCUUGUUGCUAUAAGUUUGAGCAGUUCAUGCAACUUUAGCGAUGAAAAUUUCAUUAUGUACCUAUGAAGUAGGAUUCCUAUAGAGAAGUGGAGAUUGAUGCAUUCUCUAGUAGCUAGAUUUGUAAUUGUAAGUCAUAUCUGCAACUACUCUAUCAAAAGAGAGAUUGUUAUGUUCACAUCCAUUGCUUGCUCAAUAUAAUAUU
rnacentral:misc_RNA from 1 species